rnacentral:rRNA from 1 species
AUUGAACGCUGGCGGCAUGCUUUACACAUGCAAGUCGAACGGCAGCGGGGUAGUGCUUGCACUACUGCCGGCGAGUGGCGAACGGGUGAGUAAUAUAUCGGAACGUACCGAGUAAUGGGGGAUAACCAAUCGAAGGAUUGGCUAAUACCGCAUACGUCCUGAUGGAGAAAGCGGGGGAUCGCAAGACCUCGCGUUAUUCUAGAGGCCGAUAACUGAUGAGCUAGUUGGUGGGGUAAAGGCCUACCAAGGCGACGAUCAGUAGCGGGUCUGAGAGGACGAUACGCCACACUGGGACUGGGACACGGCCCAGACUCCUACGGGAGGCAGCAGUGGGGAAUUUUGGACAGAGGGGGCAACCCUGAUCCAGCCAUGCCGCGUGUAUGAAGAAGGCCUUCGGGUUGUAAAGUACUUUUGUUAGGGAAGAAAAGGGAAGUGCUAAUACCACUUUUUGCUGACGGUACCUAAAGAAUAAGCACCGGCUAACUACGUG